CUAUCUCUGACUCUGAGAAUAUCUGGUCCUACCUAGAGACCCCAGGCCUGGACCCCAGCACAGACUCGGAUAUCUGAGGCUCUACUCUGCCCCCAGUUCCCAAAGUGAGCCCUUUAGAGCUGACGUCUAAGAACCCAAGCUCACCCAGCCUUGCCAGCCUGUUCUUUCCCCGUGGAUUCCGAACGCCACUCUCCCUUCCUUUCAGUCAUCACUGGCAUGUGAGUCACUGCUACCAGGGCCUGGCUGAGCCUACCCACCUUCUGCUCUGGCAUCCAACUCAAACCGCGUGACUGUGGAAGCUACCAGCCUCCCAGGUCUGGCAUGCUGAAGGCUGCCAUAGUGUGCUGGGUGGAGGCAGCCAUGGCUGGGAGGACUACUGAACACACACACACAAAAUUGUUGCAGGAGUAUGUGGACAGGAUGAAGUGUGUCACUUGGAUGGGCCAUGGCCUUUGACAGGAUUGCUAACUAUUUGCUGGAGGGGACAAGGAAGGUACUUCAAUUAUAUCGCCCAUUAAAUAAGUGGAAACGGUGAGACACUAGAGACGUGUGGUGGCCUGGGUGAGGCGGCUCAACACGAUCGGCGAAGAGUCAACCGGCUCCGACUGCUGGCCACUCAGUGUCACAGGACAACCCGACCCCCACUGCUUGCCCUUCCAAAGGCCAUGAGCACCAUGGGUGUCCCCUUGCUGGGAAUCUGGCCUAGCUCUGCUCUCCUGGCAUUUUCUACCUGGCUCCUUCCCAGCCUUGCUCCCAUGGAAUUUACGGGUACAUGGAAUACCUUUUGAGGCCUCAGGGAUCCUGUACUUCCUGUGGCUUUGACAAGGACUCUUCUUCCUGCAGUCGCCUUGCUCAGACUUCACACUGACGGGCAGGCACAACCUCCUCAAGAAAAACUCUUGGCUUGCCUAGGCGACCAAGGAGCUAUUUGCCUGUCUGUGUACCAUAUACCUGUUGACCAGAGUCCAGAAGAGUCCAGAGUUCCCUGGAAUGGAAAUUCUUGGCAAGUGUGAGCCAUUAUGUUUGUGCUGGGAAUCAAGCUCAGGUCCUCUGCAAGAUGAGCAAGUUCUAUGAGCCACAGAGCCAUGUCUCCAUCCUGCCCCCACAUUUAAUUGUUGAAUUUUAUAUUCUGGAAAUCAUAGAAGAGUGAAUUCUCCUCAGUAGCUGUGCAAUAGGUAAAAAUAUU